CAGGGAGACAACAAAAUGUUUAAUAUUAUUAUUUUGUCACCUUAGGUCGAUCGGUAUCUCACAUUCUUAAUUUAUUAAGGAUUUUAUUUCCUAAGUUUUUUCUAGGUCACACCCAUUACUUUUCCUGGGCCAUUAGCUCAGGUGGUUAGAGCGCACCCCUGAUAAGGGUGAGGUCCCUGGUUCAAGUCCAGGAUGGCCCAUAUCUCUAUGUUGGGGGUAUAGCUCAGUUGGUAGAGCGCCUGCUUUGCAAGCAGGAUGUCAGCGGUUCGAGUCCGCUUACCUCCACUGAUUACCACCUCUUCCAUAAUUAUUGAGGAAAUGUUUUGAGUAGUGAUCAAAUUCUGAACGAAUCUAGCUUCCUAAUGAAUUCAUUAAGAUGCUGGACUCAUUGAAUUAUUUUCAUUGUUUUCAGAGAACCUUGACAACUGCAUAGAUUAUUUUUAAAGACAAUAAGCAUCUUUUAUGAUGCAGAUUCUUUAUUUGUGCGAAUGCAUUAAUAACAAUUCUAUUAAGCUGAUGCUUCAAUUAUGAAGUUAUU
rnacentral:tRNA from 1 species